GCAAGUCGAGGGGUAACAGGGAGUGCUUGCACUCUGCUGACGACCGGCGCACGGGUGCGUAACGCGUAUGCAACCUACCUUUUACAGGGGGAUAGUCAAGAGAAAUUUUGAAUAAUACCCCAUACGAUCCUGAUAUCACCUGAUAUUUGGAAGAAAACUUCGGUGGUAAAAGAUGGGCAUGCGUCCUAUUAGUUAGUUGGUGAGGUAACGGCUCACCAAGACAGCGAUAGGUAGGGGUCCUGAGAGGGAGAUCCCCCACACUGGUACUGAGACACGGACCAGACUCCUACGGGAGGCAGCAGUGAGGAAUAUUGGACAAUGGAGGCAACUCUGAUCCAACCAUGCCGCGUGCAGGAAGACUGCCCUAUGGGUUGUAAACUGCUUUUAUACAGGAAGAAACCUACUUACGUGUAAGUAGCUGACGGUACUGUACGAAUAAGGAUCGGCUAACUCCGUGCCAGCAGCCGCGGUAAUACGGAGGAUCCAAGCGUUAUCCGGAAUUAUUGGGUUUAAAGGGUCCGUAGGUGGUUUGCUAAGUCAGAGGUGAAAUCCUACCGCUUAACGGUAGCACUGCCUUUGAUACUGGCAAACUUGAGUUAUUGUGAAGUAGUUAGAAUGUGUAGUGUAGCGGUGAAAUGCAUAGAUAUUACACAGAAUACCGAUUGCGAAGGCAGAUUACUAACAAUAUACUGACACUGAGGGACGAAAGCGUGGGUAGCGAACAGGAUUAGAUACCCUGGUAGUCCACGCCGUAAACGAUGGUCACUAGCUGUUUGACUAACAUUGGUUAGUUGAGUGGCUAAGCGAAAGUGAUAAGUGACCCACCUGGGGAGUACGCUCGCA
rnacentral:rRNA from 1 species